rnacentral:rRNA from 1 species
UACAGAGGGGGCAAGCGUUGUUCGGAAUUACUGGGCGUAAAGGGCGCGUAGGCGGCCUGCUAAGUCGAACGUGAAAUCCCCGGGCUCAACCCGGGAACUGCGUCCGAUACUGACAGGCUCGGAUCCGGGAGAGGGAUGCAGAAUUCCAGGUGUAGCGGUGAAAUGCGUAGAUAUCUGGAGGAACACCGGUGGCGAAGGCGGCAUCCUGGACCGGCAUUGACGCUGAGGCGCGAAAGCCAGGGGAGCAAACGGG